rnacentral:rRNA from 1 species
UCAGCGCUUCUAGCCAUGAUGGAGCGCGGUAUACGGCUCAGUAACAUGUGGUUAACCUACCCUUAGGAGGGGGACACCCUCGGGAAACUGAGGCUGAUCCCACAUAGAUGAUGGAUCCUGGAAUGGUUCUUCAUCAAAAUGGUAUGCGGCUCAUGCGUCGCGUGCCGCCUAAGGAUGGGACCGCACCCUAUCAGGUAGUUGGUGGGGUAAUGGCCCACCAAGCCUAUUACGGGUACGGGCCCUGAGAGGGGGAGCCCGGAGAUGGGCACUGAGACAAGGGCCCAGGCCCUACGGGGCGCAGCAGGCGCGAAACCUCUGCAAUGCGCGAAAGCGCGACAGGGCAACCCCGAGUGCUAGGUGCUGAAUCUAGCUUUUCCUUAGUGUAGUGAGCUAGGGGAAUAAGCGGGGGGCAAGCCUGGUGUCAGCCGCCGCGGUAAUACCAGCUCCGCGAGUGGUCGGGACGAUUAUUGGGCCUAAAGCGUUCGUAGCCGGCCUUACAAGUCUCUGGUUAAAUUUCAAGGCUUAACCUUGAGCGUGCUGGAGAUACUGUUAGGCUAGGGGGCGGGAGAGGUUGAGGGUACUUCACGGGUAGGGGCGAAAUC